rnacentral:rRNA from 1 species
GAUGAACGCUGGCGGCGUGCCUAAUACAUGCAAGUCGAGCGAACAGAUAAGGAGCUUGCUCCCUUGACGUUAGCGGCGGACGGGUGAGUAACACGUGGGUAACCUACCUAUAAGACUGGAAUAACUCCGGGAAACCGGGGCUAAUGCCGGAUAACAUUUAGAACCGCAUGGUUCUAAAGUGAAAGAUGGUUUUGCUAUCACUUAUAGAUGGACCCGCGCCGUAUUAGCUAGUUGGUAAGGUAACGGCUUACCAAGGCAACGAUACGUAGCCGACCUGAGAGGGUGAUCGGCCACACUGGAACUGAGACACGGUCCAGGCUCCUACGGGAGGCAGCAGUAGGGAAUCUUCCGCAAUGGGCGAAAGCCUGACGGAGCAACGCCGCGUGAGUGAUGAAGGUCUUCGGAUCGUAAAACUCUGUUAUUAGGGAAGAACAAAUGUGUAAGUAACUGUGCACGUCUUGACGGUACCUAAUCAGAAAGCCACGGCUAACUACGUG